UAAUACGGAAGGUCCAAGCGUUAAUCGGAAUUACUGGGCGUAAAGCGCGCGUAGGUGGUUUAUUAAGUUGGGUGUGAAAGCCCCGGGCUCAACCUGGGAACUGCAUCCAAAACUGAUUCACUAGAGUACGAAAGAGGAAAGUAGAAUUCACAGUGUAGCGGUGGAAUGCGUAGAUAUUGUGAAGAAUACCGAUGGCGAAGGCAGCUUUCUGGUUCUGUACUGACACUGAGGUGCGAAAGCGUGGGUAGCGAACAGGAUUAGAUACCCUGGUAGUCCACGCCGUAAACGAUGACAACUAGCUGUUGGAAAGCUAUGCUUUUCAGUGGCGCAGCUAACGUCUUAAGUUGUCCGCCUGGGGAGUACGGCCGCAAGGUUAAAACUCAAAUGAAUUGACGGGGACCCGCACAAGCGGUGGAGCAUGUGGUUUAAUUCGAUGCAACGCGAAAAACCUUACCUACACUUGACAUACUUGGAAUCUUUUGUAAUGAAAGAGUGCCUUUUGGAGCCAAGAUACAGGUGCUGCAUGGCUGUCGUCAGCUCGUGUCGUGAGAUGUUGGGUUAAGUCCCAUAACGAGCGCAACCCUUACCCUUAUUUGCCAGCGAUUCGGUCGGGAACUAUAAGGGGACUGCCGGUGAUAAACCGGAGGAAGGUGAGGACGACGUCAAGUCAUCAUGGCCCUUACGUGUAGGGCUACACACGUGCUACAAUGGGGAGUACAGAUAGACGCUAAAGCGCGAGCUGGUGCUAAUCUCAUAAAACUCUUCGUAGUCCGGAUUGCAGUCUGCAACUCGACUGCAUGAAGUCGGAAUCGCUAGUAAUCGCGAAUCAGCAUGUCGCGGUGAAUACGUUCUCGGGUCUUGUACACACCGCCCGUCACACCAUGGGAGUGUAUUGCACCAGAAGUGGGUAGUCUAACCUUCGGGAGGGCGCUCACCANCGGUGUGGUCCAUGACUGGGGUGAAGUCGUAACAAGGUAACCG
rnacentral:rRNA from 1 species